rnacentral:rRNA from 1 species
GCAAAAGAAGUAGGUAGCUUAACCUGCGGGAGGGCGCUUACCACUUUGUGAUUCAUGACUGGGGUGAAGUCGUAACAAGGUAACCGUAGGGGAACCUGCGGUUGGAUCACCUCCUUACCUUAAAGAAGC